CCGAGUUUACAACUCCCAAACCCCUGUGAACAUACCUACUUGUUGCCUCGGCGGAUCAGCCCGGCGCCCUCGGUACCGGAUCAGGCGCCCGCCAGGAGGACCCCUAAACUCUGUAUUCUAUAUGUAUCUUCUGAGUAAACCAGAAAUAAAUCA
rnacentral:misc_RNA from 1 species